rnacentral:tRNA from 1 species
UUAAUUGAAACCAAAAAGAGGUAUAUUACUGUUAAUAAUAUUAUUGAGAAAUUCUCCAAUUAAA